UCGAACGGGCUAGUGCUUCGCACUAGUCUCUUUCUGGGGUUGUUACUCUAAGGCUACCUGCUAAAGUUAUUGCUUUAAAGCAGGGGUUUUAGGAGACUUUCCCCGAAAGGGGCCAGUGCGGAGCACUGGCCAGUGGCGAACGGGUGAGUAACACGUGGGUAAUCUACCCUCGAGUGGGGGAAUAAGCUUCCGAAAGGGGGUCUAAUGCCGCAUAACGUUUCAUAACGAUGGUUAUGAAACCAAAGCCCAAAAGGCGCUCGAGGAGGAGCCUGCGUCCUAUCAGCUUGUUGGCAGGGUAAUGGCCUACCAAGGCUAUGACGGGUAGCCGGCCUGAGAGGGUGUCCGGCCACACUGGAACUGAGACACGGUCCAGACUCCUACGGGAGGCAGCAGUGGGGAAUUUUGCGCAAUGGGGGAAACCCUGACGCAGCGACGCCGCGUGGAGGAUGACGGCCUUCGGGUUGUAAACUCCUGUCAGAAGGGACGAAAUCCCGCAAGGGACUGACGGUACCUUCAGAGGAAGCCCCGGCUAACUACGUG
rnacentral:rRNA from 1 species